GAGUUGCAACUACCAUGUUGUUGGGAGCUUAGAACCUUUUCUCUUCAUCUUUUGUAGAUUAUCAGUCGGUUUUCCUUCUUUAGCCCCAAAUUUGGCACAUCUGACUUUUUCUCUUUAUGAUUAAAAAGAACUCUUGGUUCUGUUUCUCCACUUGUAAGCCUUUUAAUUCCUAGUUUGUCUUGCCUCCUUGUGUAAUGGUUUUGUUGCUUUUAUGGUGCACUUGGUUAAGACACUUUCUUACUGUUCAUAUGUCCCUCUUAAAAUAUUGCUGCAUGUGCUUAAGUUUAUUUGUUAACAUUGCUGUAGGAAGUCAAGAGGAAUUUGGAGAUUGCGAUCCACCUUCCUAUCAUGUAUACAGUUUGCUGUUUGUGUAUUGUCGUAAUUGAUUGGCUGAAUUGUCUUAAUAGAGCUUUCGAAGUCUCCAUUCAAUCUACUGCUGGAAGAUCCAAUCAGAAUGUUCGUGUCUCAUCUCCUGCGAUGAUUAGUCUGCUUCAGAGGUAUUGAGAAACACAAGUUUGUUCCUCCCUGAUACAGAUUUCAUAUGUGUGGGGGGUGUAUAUCUGAUUGGCAUCACAUUCUUAUGAUGUCGAAAAGCAGCUUCUUCAGCUACUAUCGAGUGUGGCAUUGGAGAGACCUAAAUUUUCUUCAUAUCUCAUACUAUAGCAUGUGAGAUGCAAAGAAUAGCAGAGUUUGGGGCAAAGAAAGGCAUACAUAUUGUUGAGUAAAGAGUCUGAUACCUCAUCUCCAUUCUCUUAGUGUAAGCCCUCAUCCUCAUUCUUGCUGUCCCUAAUUACUUGUUAUUCUGUAUUUUCCAUUGUAAUUAAGUGGAGUGAGUGUUUCUAUUACUGUUUCAAAGUUG